UGUGUGCUUUGAUGUCCUGCAGGAGAAAAGUGCUCUCCUGGGGAAAGGUCAACACAUGGAGGAGUCAGGGUCCAAUGGGAACGGAAAGAUUCUGAGCAUCCACUCCUCAGAGAGUCAGCAAGAGUUCUUCAAGAUGCUGGACGAAAAAAUUGCAAAGGGCCAGGACUACUGCUCAGAAGAGGAAGAAGAUAUGACAUAGCACUGUGCUCGUGUGUCCAUCGCGCCAAUGUGGAGGAACUGUCAUGGCAGUGCUACGGAUGGACCGUACCAUGUGCUAACUCAGGGGAAAGGUCCCUUGUAUGUCCACGCCUGAGAAAAAUGGAUUACAGACUUGAAUCAAGCACCUUUUUGCCCUCCUGCUCACAACCUGCUCGUAUCUCAACUAAGAGAGAAAGGACCACCAAAAUCAAAGUAUUUUUAACCUCCUCGAAAAGAAGAACAUUACAUUCUACUUCCUUAAUGAAGUCAUUACAGGAUGACAGAGAUCUUGGGAUUUUAAGACACACUUGCUUUUCUUCCCAACCUUGGAAAAGUCCUGUAUGGUCAAUAUAAAUGGCCAUCACUGAGACAUUUGAAACAUUACGACUGUUGCACAUUUACAUUUCCAAUGGCAGAAGCAGCCAGUGCUCUGGUGGGCACUUACCGUGAAAACGUAUAUCUCCAUCUGCAUCACUUUCAAUAUUCCAUUCUUGAAUGCCUCCCUGAAAAGUCAACCGUUUGGAAACUUCCUGCAUUCCAAGACACAGUAUGAACCUCUUUUCUACAGUACGUUGGCCAGUACAUUGUGUUUGUCUACAGAAGAUUAUUAGUGCCAGGCAACAAUGAGGAGGAAUCUUUUUUUAUUUUGCAUUUCAAGGCAAAAUGUCAAUAAUAAAGUCAAAGUCCAGUAUAUGCGCUAACACUAGUGGUCAGAUAUUUUCUCAGUUGGACAAUUAUCCUCAACAUUUGCUACUUUAUUCUUGAAAACGCAAAAACAAAAACAUUUUCUCUCAUAUAAUCCUUAUUUCUGGACGCAAUCAUUUUCGUAGCGUCUGUCCAUGUCUGUUUUCUGCUAUGAUGUAGAGAAUCUAUGUUGAAUAAGGCUCAGGGUUGAAGUGUUGUAAUCUUUGUCUCAAGUGGUCAAGUCCUUCCUCUCAUAAAGACACUGUUUGAGCAGACACUCGUGCACUCACACAGCAGGGUCUUCCAUGUCCCCUGCUUCAGUAUCCGUCCCGUGUUAUACCUACAGGGUGGACACUGCUUCAUCACAUACAAGUCUGAUUAUGUAUUUCGCUCACCAGUAAUAUGUUGUUGUGUUUCUAUGUUGAACUUUUGUUUUUUUAGAAAAUAAAAAGUGUUUUCAGUAAGUUAUC